CGGUGGAUUUNUUAGCCCUGGUGGGUAGCUUCCCGGAAACGAAAGUCUUCCGGUUCCGGGGGAAGUAUGGUUGCAAAGCUGAAACUUAAAGGAAUUGACGGAAGGGCACCACCAGGAGUGGAGCCUGCGGCUUAAUUUGACUCAACACGGGGAAACUCACCCGGCCCGGACACCGUAAGGAUUGACAGAUUGAUAGCUCUUUCAUGAUUCGGUGGUUGGUGGUGCAUGGCCGUUCUUAGUUCGUGGAUCGAUUUGUCUGGUUUAUUCCGAUAACGAGCGAGACUCUAGCCUACUAAAUAGUAACGAGAUUAUCAAUGUCUCAGUUGCUUCUUAGAGGGAUUUUCGGUGUUUAGCCGCACGAGAUUGAGCAAUAACAGGUCUGUGAUGCCCUUAGAUGUCCGGGGCUGCACGCGCGCUACACUGGCGAAAUCAGCGUGCUGUAUCCAUUCUCGAAAGGGAUUGGUAAACCCAUGAAAAUUUGCCGUGCUUGGGAUCGGAAAUUGCAAUUAUUUUCCGUGAACGAGGAAUUCCAAGUAAGUGCGAGUCAUCAACUCGCUCUGAUUACGUC
rnacentral:rRNA from 1 species